rnacentral:tRNA from 1 species
GGGUUGAUGGUCUUAUGGUUACUGCUUCUGUUUCAUAAGCAGAAGGUCAUGGGUUCAAGCCCAGGUUCGACUCU